CCUACGGGCGUCUGCAGUGGGGAAUAUUGGACAAUGGGCGAAAGCCUGAUCCCGCCAUGCCGCGUGUGUGAAGAAGGCCUUCGGGUUGUAAAGCACUUUCAGUGGGGAAGAAAGCCUUGGGGCUAAUACCCUCGAGGAAGGACAUCACCCACAGAAGAAGCACCGGCUAACUCCGUGCCAGCAGCCGCGGUAAUACGGAGGGUGCGAGCGUUAAUCGGAAUUACUGGGCGUAAAGCGCGCGUAGGCGGUCUGAUAAGCCGGUUGUGAAAGCCCCGGGCUCAACCUGGGAACGGCAUCCGGAACUGUCAGGCUAGAGUGCAGGAGAGGAAGGUAGAAUUCCCGGUGUAGCGGUGAAAUGCGUAGAGAUCGGGAGGAAUACCAGUGGCGAAGGCGGCCUUCUGGACUGACACUGACGCUGAGGUGCGAAAGCGUGGGUAGCAAACAGGAUUAGAUACCCUGGUAGUC
rnacentral:rRNA from 1 species